rnacentral:rRNA from 1 species
GACGAACGCUGGCGGCGUGCUUAACACAUGCAAGUCGAGCGGUAAGGCCCUUUCGGGGGUACGACGAGCGGCGAACGGGUGAGUAACACGUGGGUGACCUGCCCUCAGCUCUGGGAUAAGCCUGGGAAACCGGGUCUAAUACUGGAUAUGACUCCAUGACGCAUGUUGUGGGGUGGAAAGCCUUGUGCGGCUGAGGAUGGGCCCGCGGCCUAUCAGCUUGUUGGUGGGGUGAGGCCUACCAAGGCGACGACGGGUAGCCGGCCUGAGAGGGCGGUCGGCCACACUGACACUGACAUACGGGUCAGACUCCUACGGGAGGCAGCAGUCGGGAAUUUUGGACAAUGGGCGCAAGCCUGAUCCAGCGAUGCCGCGUGUGUGAAGAAGGCCUGCGGGUUGUAAAGCACUUU